CGGUGUUUAACUGGCGUGAUGUGGGACGUCCUACCGGUGGGCUUAGCCUCGCGAGGGGCGGCCCAACUAAUAUCCCGUCGCGGUGCUCUUUACUGAGUGUCGAGUCGGGCCGGUACGUUUACUUUGAACAAAUUAGAGUGCUUAAAGCAGGCUAUCCUCGCCUGAAUACUGCGUGCAUGGGAAUAAUGGAAAUAGGACCUCGGUUCUAUUUUGUUGGUUUUCGGAACCCCGAGGUAAUGAUUAAUAGGGACAGAUGGGGGCAUUCGUAUUGCGACGUUAGAGGUGAAAUUCUUGGAUCGUCGCAAGACGGACAGAAGCGAAAGCAUUUGCCAAAAAUGUUUUCAUUAAUCAAGAACGAAAGUUAGAGGUUCGAAGGCGAUCAGAUACCGCCCUAGUUCUAACCAUAAACGAUGCCAGCUAGCGAUCCGCCGAAGUUCCUCCGAUGACUCGGCGGGCAGCUUCCGGGAAACCAAAGCUUUUGGGUUCCGGGGGAAGUAUGGUUGCAAAGCUGAAACUUAAAGGAAUUGACGGAAGGGCACCACCAGGAGUGGAGCCUGCGGCUUAAUUUGACUCAACACGGGAAACCUCACCAGGCCCAGACACCGGAAGGAUUGACAGAUUGAUAGCUCUUUCUUGAUUCGGUGGGUGGUGGUGCAUGGCCGUUCUUAGUUGGUGGAGCGAUUUGUCUGGUUAAUUCCGAUAACGAACGAGACUCUAGCCUGCUAAAUAGGCGUACCUUAUGGUAUCGCGAAGGCCCCCGGCUUCGGCCGGUGGGUUUUUACUACCAACGUACAAACAAAUCUUCUUAGAGGGCACAGGCGG
rnacentral:rRNA from 1 species